UCCGACUUUCCGGUUUUAGGGGGUAUUGUUGAAUUCUUACCGGAUUCGAUCCUGGCUUUAAAUCAAUUCUCACAGGUUCUGCUUUUUGGACUUACCGGGAACUUCCCAGGCCAGACGAUUGGAAUUACAGCGUUAUACUUUGACCGGUAUAAUCUUCGGCUUUCGGGAACGCUGCGAGGAGCUUUGCGAGUCGAGGGUGACGGUUCUCCCCGAGAAUACCUCGGUGCCGGCCGGAGUUCGAUCAACACUCGAUCUCGUCCAGUCUCACUCGCAAGGUCCCAUCCGGGUCGCCAAAACCGUUACCGAAAUCCGGAAUAAAACUCCUUAACGCCAACGUGAA